GACGAACGCUGGCGGCGUGCUUAACACAUGCAAGUCGAACGAUGAAGCCGGAGCUUGCUCUGGUGAAUUAGUGGCGAACGGGUGAGUAACACGUGAGUAACCUGCCCUUGACUCUGGGAUAACUGCUAGAAAUGGUAGCUAAUGCCGGAUACGACCCUCGGCGGCAUCGCCAGGGGGUGGAAAGGAUUUCGGUCAAGGAUGGACUCGCGGCCUAUCAGCUAGUUGGUGAGGUAACGGCUCACCAAGGCGACGACGGGUAGCCGGCCUGAGAGGGUGACCGGCCACACUGGGACUGAGACACGGCCCAGACUCCUACGGGAGGCAGCAGUGGGGAAUAUUGCACAAUGGGCGCAAGCCUGAUGCAGCAACGCCGCGUGAGGGAUGACGGCCUUCGGGUUGUAAACCUCUUUUAGUAGGGAAGAAGCGAAAGUGACGGUACCUGCAGAAAAAGCACCGGCUAACUACGUGCCAGCCGCCGCGGUAA
rnacentral:rRNA from 1 species